UACGGGGGGAGCAAGCGUUGUUCGGAUUUACUGGGCGUAAAGGGCGCGUAGGCGGCCACUGCAAGUCAGUUGUGAAAUCUCCGGGCUUAACCCGGAAAGGUCAACUGAUACUGCAGGGCUAGAGUGCAGAAGGGGCAACUGGAAUUCUCGGUGUAGCGGUGAAAUGCGUAGAUAUCGAGAGGAACACCUGCGGCGAAGGCGGGUUGCUGGGCUGACACUGACGCUGAUGUGCGAAAGCCAGGGGAGCGAACGGG
rnacentral:rRNA from 1 species